rnacentral:rRNA from 1 species
AGAGUUUGUAUCCUGGCUCAGGACUGAAACGCUGGCGGCGUGCCUAAUACAUGCAAGUACGAGCGAACCACUUACGGUGGGAAGCGGCGAACGGGUGAGUAACACGUAGGUGAUCUGCCCAUCAGACGGGGACAACGAUUGGAAACGAUCGCUAAUACCGGAUAGGACGAAAGUUUAAAGAUGCUCCUGGCAUCACUGAUGGAUGAGCCUGCGGCGCAUUAGCUAGUUGGUGGGGUAAAGGCCUACCAAGGCGACGAUGCGUAGCCGACCUGAGAGGGUGAACGGCCACACUGGGACUGAGACACGGCCCAGACUCCUACGGGAGGCAGCAGUAGGGAAUCUUCGGCAAUGGGCGAAAGCCUGACCGAGCAACGCCGCGUGAAUGAAGAAGGCCUUCGGGUUGUAAAAUUCUGUUAUAAGGGAAGAAAGGUGAUAGGAAGAAAUGACUAUCAAUUGACGGUACCUUAUGAGAAAGCCACGGCUAACUACGUG